rnacentral:rRNA from 1 species
UGGGGAAUAUUGGGCAAUGGGGGGAAACCCUGACCCAGCAACGCCGCGUGAAGGAAGAAGGCUUUCGGGUUGUAAACUUCUUUUACCAGGGACGAAGAAAGUGACGGUACCUGGAGAAAAAGCCACGGCUAACUACGUGCCAGCAGCCGCGGUAAUACGUAGGUGGCAAGCGUUGUCCGGAUUUACUGGGUGUAAAGGGCGUGUAGGCGGAGAUGCAAGUCAGAUGUGAAAUCCCCAGGCUUAACCCGGGAGCUGCAUUUGAAACUGUAUCCCUUGAGUAUCGGAGAGGCAGGCGGAAUUCCUAGUGUAGCGGUGAAAUGCGUAGAUAGUUAGGAGGAA